GUAGGGGAGUGGGACUAAGCAGAUGACUCUUGUGUAGAGUUCCAUCACAACAGCCCGGCAUGAUGGGAACAAGGGCAGAUUCUUCACAAAAUAGACUCAUGUUUGCUGAAAUUGCACUGGCACACCAUUUUAUUUUAAUGAUAGUUCAAUGAAAAUGGCACCAUAAAAUUAACCAGUGAUUUAGAGAGAGGAAUGGACAACCACAGAAUGGAAAGAAAAAAAUGGUAAAAUAGGAAUCAACCAAAAAGUAUGUAACAGAACAAU